rnacentral:rRNA from 1 species
UAAUACGAAGGGGGCUAGCGUUGUUCGGAUUUACUGGGCGUAAAGCGCGCGUAGGCGGAUCGCUAAGUCAGGGGUGAAAUCCCAAGGCUCAACCUUGGAACUGCCUUUGAUACUGGCAAUCUGGAGUUCGGGAGAGGUGAGUGGAAUUCCGAGUGUAGAGGUGAAAUUCGUAGAUAUUCGGAGGAACACCAGAAGCGAAGGCGGCUCACUGGCCCGA